UUUAUUUUGAGCCUAACGAGGUACGCCCUAGCGAUUUUCACCUGUCGCUAGAGUUUCGUAAGUUGUUUGCCUUGUCUGUGGCUUUUUGACAAGCUAAAUCCUUGCCGUCCGUCCAAGCACGAGCUCAGACCCGUCGGUGACGAAUCGACUGUGGCUUCCACAAAUUAAUACCUUCAAACAAGCAGUCAACCAGCCAAACCAGUCUCCCUCUCAAAACCCGAGGCUCGCGGCUCUUCGGGAAGAAGGCACACUGAGCACCAGCUCCGGCUACUCACCACGGUAGGAAUGUUUUGCGGUCUGGAAGGUAAAAUGCCUCUCUGCAGCCGAGCCGAGCAAAUCUACCGCUGAGUAAUGCGCCACAAUUUCCAGCAAACGCCACCGGGACGCUAACCAAGCGUAAAAGUAGCCCCUGUUUCCUCUGACCGAGACGUCGAGUUCGGGAGCUGGGACGGAGGACCACAGGACUACAUGCCCGUGACGUACGUUCCGUUGCAGAAGCAGCAACACAGCCGUACAACCGUGGCAUAUGUGACCAAACAGCAAGAGACCGUGAGAGUAGAUUAGGGAAUCGUUUCACUUUCUGCUGUCCGUUACCGUUGAUGUACACAUUAUAAGUACUUGCUGCUUGCUGCCUCUAUCUGUGAUCUAAUCUAACAGAUAACAGCGCAAGGUGAAUGUUGCAGCACAAUGUCUAAAGGCCGCUGUAAGAUUGACCAUUUUCCGGUUUCUGUUUGUAGUGUUUCCUGUUACCUUUUACUGCUAUCCAAUUGCUUCUCAGCUUAGUGAAAGAGGGUACUGUUUUGCCAUAUUGUUGUACAUACGUCUGAGGCCGACAAGGCGUCUGAGUUCAAAGAGAAUUGGGUAAUAUAUAUUUUGAUAUUUUAUUCAUAAUUUCAUUCGUAACAACGUUCAUUCGUGAACAUGCACUUAGGGAUGGUUGAAAAUUCUAGUAAACAGCUAAGGUAAAUAUUAAUCUAAUAACCAUUUCCUUUUCCAUACAGAUGUACAGAAGCUAUAAUUGUAAGCUAGAGGAAAAUCUCUUAUCUUUAAGAUCACUUCCAUCAAAGCAACAGCCUUAAGCGGAUCAUACAUUUAAUAUGUAUUUUUAGCUGAUUGAGUGUUAAGCAAACCUUCACUCACAAUGACAUACCCGCACGCACAUUCACGUUCUUCAUUACUGCUGCCUUCUGUCAACAAACCUUACAAGCAAUCGACCAUCGACGGAUUGUUGAACUAUAAAUACUGCUUUCUGCUCCAUCCUUCUAAUCCGCACGGUCCGAUAACGAUGACCGAUCAUAUAUCAACAGAUAAUUCCUUCAGCCUUUGCAACGAUUUCCAUUCACAUCUCUAUUUGUCAACGAAAUGGUGGCACAGAAGAGGGGGACAAGCAAGGAAUCUUCAGCUCUGGGAUCAUACACACAUACACACACAAAAACCAACCCGUAUGCUCGCACGGACGAUUCAGGGUAUAAAAUGGCUUAGCCUUGGGAAAACGGGAAAGGAAUUUUCAACCAACCGUUCGUGCGUUCAGCCGCUCCAUCCAUCAUUAGAAUGCGCCAUUGCUGGGGCGUUAAGUCCGUUUCGUGAAGGCCGUGUAAGUUUAUUCAUCAACCGCUUCGUUCCCUUUUCCCCUGCCCGCCUGUGUUCUGUGUGCGAAUAUAAACUGCUUCGGGGUCAUUUUGAUGUAGCAUAUCUGUAGGCUUUGGUUGACUGGCAGGAACAUAUGAAUCUCCAUUAAUCAUACACUUAAUCUUUGUUGCUGAAGAAACCGUCAAUCCGUUCUCACUGUGGAUGGUCCGUAGGUGUUUCUGUGUGGCUGUUUACGUCAAGGCAAGGUGACACAAGAAUACUUGCUGAAGUGUCAAGCCUUUUUGAUGAUUGUGCUGACAGCUCCACACUAUUUGACCAAAAGU